AUUGAACGCUGGCGGCAGGCUUAACACAUGCAAGUCGAACGAGUGGCGGACGGGUGAGUAAUGCUUGGGAAUCUAGCCUAUGGAGGGGGAUAACUACGGGAAACUGUAGCUAAUACCGCGUACCAUAGGAUGAGCCCAAGUGGGAUUAGGUAGUUGGUGAGGUAAAGGCUCACCAAGCCGACGAUCUCUAGCUGGUGUGAGAGGAUGACCAGCCCCACCGGGACUGGAGAACGGCCCGGGCUCCUUAGGGAGGGAGCAGUGGGGGAUAGUGCGCAAUGGGGGCAACCUGACGCAGCCAUGCCGCGUUAGUGGAGAAGGCCUUCGGGUUGUAAAGUUCUUUCGGUAGCGGGACGUUAACUACAGAAGAAGCACCGGCUAACUCCGUGCCAGCAGCCGGGGUAAUAC
rnacentral:rRNA from 1 species